rnacentral:rRNA from 1 species
GCUUGCUUCUCUUGAGAGCGGCGGACGGGUGAGUAAUGCCUAGGAAUCUGCCUGGUAGUGGGGGAUAACGUCCGGAAACGGACGCUAAUACCGCAUACGUCCUACGGGAGAAAGCAGGGGACCUUCGGGCCUUGCGCUAUCAGAUGAGCCUAGGUCGGAUUAGCUAGUUGGUGGGGUAAUGGCUCACCAAGGCGACGAUCCGUAACUGGUCUGAGAGGAUGAUCAGUCACACUGGAACUGAGACACGGUCCAGACUCCUACGGGAGGCAGCAGUGGGGAAUAUUGGACAAUGGGCGAAAGCCUGAUCCAGCCAUGCCGCGUGUGUGAAGAAGGUCUUCGGAUUGUAAAGCACUUUAAGUUGGGAGGAAGGGCAGUAAAUUAAUACUUUGCUGUUUUGACGUUACCGACAGAAUAAGCACCGGCUAACUCUGUGCCAGCAGCCGCGGUAAUACAGAGGGUGCAAGCGUUAAUCGGAAUUACUGGGCGUAAAGCGCGCGUAGGUGGUUCGUUAAGUUGGAUGUGAAAUCCCCGGGCUCAACCUGGGAACUGCAUUCAAAACUGACGAGCUAGAGUAUGGUAGAGGGUGGUGGAAUUUCCUGUGUAGCGGUGAAAUGCGUAGAUAUAGGAAGGAACACCAGUGGCGAAAGCGACCACCUGGACUGAUACUGACACUGAGUGCGAAAGCGUGGGGAGCAAACAGGAUUAGAUACCCUGGUAGUCCACGCCGUAAACGAUGUCAACUA